GGUGCAGUUGCAGCUCCAUGCCGGGAUGAGCAUGGCACCUACUAGGGUUCUUCUGUAGUGGUCUUUCAAGGAACUCGUGAUCCAAUGAUGCUCGAAACAUUUGCAUGCAGGGAAGCUCUUGCCCUAGCAUAUGAUCUUGAUAUUCAGAAUAUGGAAGUAGCAUCAGACUGCCUAGAAGUGGUAAAAGACAUUAAGGAGGGGAGAGGAGGUCCUAAUGCGGCUAUCAUCCAAGAGAUCGCGGCACGUAGAUCUUCUUAUUCAUGCUUUUUUAUUCAUGAGCGUAGGAAUUUUAAUUUCGAGGCUCAUAAUCUCGCCAAGUUUGCUUGUAAUUUAGGCUUGGGUAGACAUAUAUGGUUGGGAAACCCUCACAACGUGAACCGUCUACCCAUGAACAUUGUUAUCAAUCAAUAA
rnacentral:rRNA from 1 species